GAAGUGGAAGUGUAAGCUAGGAGAUACUUCUUUUGAGGUAAUUACUUCAUAGUUAGAGCAUAUGGGCACUCGGAUACAACGCUACUGGGAUUCAACUUUUAACAUUGUUUCUACAAUAUCACGAGGACUUAUUAUUACGUAUGCCUAUAUUGUGGUAAUAAGUUUUAAUUGGUUGGUUCGAAUACCAGUUUGUUUCAUUGCCUAACAGUGUUUUGAGUACAAGUAAUUGUUAGUGUCAAUUUUAUGUCUUCUCAUAAUGGAAAAUUU
rnacentral:lncRNA from 1 species